rnacentral:rRNA from 1 species
GAUGAACGCUGGCGGCGUGCCUAAUACAUGCAAGUCGAGCGAACAGACGAGGAGCUUGCUCCUCUGACGUUAGCGGCGGACGGGUGAGUAACACGUGGAUAACCUACCUAUAAGACUGGGAUAACUUCGGGAAACCGGAGCUAAUACCGGAUAAUAUAUUGAACCGCAUGGUUCAAUAGUGAAAGACGGUUUUGCUGUCACUUAUAGAUGGAUCCGCGCCGCAUUAGCUAGUUGGUAAGGUAACGGCUUACCAAGGCAACGAUGCGUAGCCGACCUGAGAGGGGGAUCAGCCCAACCGGAACAGGAACACGGGCCCAGAUCCUCAGGGAGGGCAGAGGGGGGAAAUUUUCCGAAUGGGGGGAAGCCCUGACGGAGCAACGCCGGGGGGGGGAUGAAGGGUUUCGGAUCGAAAAACCUUUUUUUGAGGGAAAAAAAAAUGUGUAAAAAACUAUGCACGUCUGGAGGGUACCAAAUAAGAAAGCCCGGCCUAAUUCGGG